AGAAAUCCCUCUAAACGUCACUAGGCACAUGAGGAAAUGCCCUUACAAAGUACAUCCUUGAAUUUCACCCUAGUAGAGCAACCAAGCGCACAGCAAAGCCAAGACAAACACAGCACUGCUCUCUCCUGAAAAUGAAUGUGGUUUGGAAAUCUCCGCUGUUGCCAUAUCCAAGGCAAUGAUUCAUCCUCCCAGUGGGGUUUUGCCUUGCCUCCGCAUGUUUUGCAAUGCUGCCCGACUUUAUAACAGCGUGGCUGCACGCAGUGAAUCCUUGCUAGUUUCUCAGCUUGCCUGUGAGAGGGAAGGAGCUAAUCCUUCUAAUGAUGAUUUUCCUCUUUCACCACUUGGUCUUGCUGGCCACGGACUUAUUUCUCGCAAUGAUCCUUUCUUGCCUCCUUUAUGCCUUUGCAUUCAUUUCCAUCACGUUUUUGACCUGCUUCAUUAUCUUCUGGUCCUUCAGAGUCGUGGAGAAGAACAUUGACAUAAAAGGGAGAGCAAUUGUCAUUCUUGUAUCCAACAGCUCAAUUGGGAGGACGUUUGCUAGGAACUUGGAUAAAGCAGGUUUUAGGGUGUCUGCUGCACACUGGUCUUCUCAAGAGGAGGGAACAACUGCGAAAGAAGAGUGCUCUUCAGGAAUGGAGGUAGCACAGCUCCACAUGACGGAUGACGAGUACCAGAAGACAAUGAAAACCUUCAUAGAAAAUCACUUAUCCCUGAAAGGCACAUAUGGGCUGAUGAAGAAGCCAUCCCUGCUGAUAUGGGAAGAAGAGGAACCAGACACAUGCAGUUUAUCUGAGAGAAGAACCCCUCAUAAAUGGAAGAAGGCUUUCAGGGUUCCAGCUCUCUGCAUCACAGCCCUCUUUCGCCCACUGAACCGUGCCCUGACUUUCCUGAAGAAGAGAGUUUUGCAGCCCCGUAUGCUCCUGAAGUCCAAAAACUGAGAG
rnacentral:lncRNA from 1 species